UACGAAGGGAGCUAGCGUUGUUCGGAGUUACUGGGCGUAAAGGGCGCGUAGGCGGUUUAACAAGUCAGAUGUGAAAGCCCAGGGCUUAACCUUGGAACUGCGUUUGAUACUGUUUUACUUGAAUUCGGUAGAGGUUAGUGGAAUUCCCAGUGUAGAGGUGAAAUUCGUAGAGAUUGGGAAGAACAUCCGUGGCGAAGGCGGCUAACUGGACCGACAUUGACGCUGAGGCGCGAAAGCGUGGGGAGCAAAC
rnacentral:rRNA from 1 species